CCUACGGGAGGCAGCAGUGGGGACUAUUGGUCAAUGGGCGCAAGCCUGACCCAGCAACGCCGCGUGCAGGAAGAAGGCUUUCGGGUUGUUAACUUCUUUUCUCACGGACGAAGCAAGUGACGGUACCUGGGCAUUAAACCACCUCUAACUACGUGCCCGCAGCCGCGGUAAUACGUAGGUGGCAGUCGUUAUCCGGAUUUAUUGGGUGUAAAGGGCGUGUAGGCUGGAAUGCACGUCAGUUGUGAAAACGACGGGCUCAACAUGUGGCCUGCAUUUUCAACGGUAGUUCUUGAGUCCUUGAAAGGCAGACGGAAUUCGUAGUGUAGCGGUGAAAUGCGUAGAUAUGAGGAGGAACAC
rnacentral:rRNA from 1 species